AUUGAACGCUGGAGGCAGGCCUACCACAUGCAAGUCGAGCGGAGCGGCGCACGGGUGCGUAAUGACUAGGAAUCUGCCUGGUAGUGGGGGAUCACGUCCGGCACCGGGCGCUCAUACCGCAUACUCUCAGCUGAGCCUAGGUCGGAUUAGCUAGUGGGUGGGGUAAAGGCCUACCACGGCGACGAUCUGUAACUGGUCUGAGAGGAUGAUCAGUCACACUGGAACUGAGACCAGGUCCAGACUCCUACGGGAGGCAGCAGUGGGGAAUAUUGGACAAUGGGCGAAAGCCUGAUCCAGCCAUGCCGCGUGUGUGAAGAAGGGCUUCGGAUUGUAAAGCACUUUAAGUUGGGAGGCGUUACCAACAGAAUAAGCACCGGCUAACUUCGUGCCAGCCGCCGCGGUAAUAC
rnacentral:rRNA from 1 species